GCAGCCAGCAGUAGCGAGAAGGGGCCGGAAGAUCUGGGCGGAGGCCCUUUAUCGCAAAUCAUAACCAUGUCGCCGUGAUCAAAAUUCUCUCCUGUUAGCAACAAAGAUCGGCGGGCGCCUUUCCGAUGCAUGAAAUGAUUGAUGAGGGCCGUGACCGUGAUGAUGAUCCCCUCGUUCGUGCGCUUUUCCGGCCGUUGUUUAGUGUUUACUGGCCAUGUUGCUGUACCACCAAAUCGCCCCCAAAAGAAAGCGAAAGCGAAAGAGAAAGCAUCUUGGGUUGUGUUUGUGCCAUGCUCCUGUUGUUUGACAUUGGCAAUGCUGGGCACCAGCUGAUGUAUACUGUGCUGAUGAAUCAUGCAUCUAUCUGUGUAUGAUGAAGCCAGCAGCAGCAGCAGCACCCGCCGUUGCUUGCUCGCAUCUUCACCGGUGAUGAUGAUGAUGAUGAUGCCGCUGAAGAAGAAGACAUGGAUGGCUGGCCGAUUGGGACGUGGCAUGGGAAAAGAAAGUCUCUCCCCAAUUUUGUUUUCUAAUGAUGUUCAUGAUGAAGACAUGCUGGGUGGAUGGAGAAAGAAAGCUUCUCCAUUUGUUUCCCCCCCUUUUCUCUGUGUGUGUAAGACUGGGAAAACGAUUUCAGCACCUGUUUGUUUGACAUUGGACAAUGUUGGGCACCGGCUGAUGGAUACUGAACCAUGCGUGUAUGAUCAGCAUUCACCUGUUGCUUCGCAUUGCGCCUCGCCUCAAAUCUUCACUAAUGAUGGUGAUGAUGAUGAUGAAGACAUUAGACAUGGACGCUGCAUUGGAAACAGAAACUUUCUCCCAAUAUAUUUUCUAUAAAGACAGUUAUGGAGAUGAUAGUAUUAUUGUAUAGAAAAAUCAACAGCUCCAUCCACCAGCUGAUGGAUACUGAAUCAUGCAUGUUUAAUCAGCAGCCCCAUCCACCUGUUGCUUUGCAUUGCUC
rnacentral:lncRNA from 1 species